AUUGAACGCUGGCGGCAGGCCUAACACAUGCAAGUCGAGCGGUAGAGAGGAGCUUGCUUCUCUUGAGAGCGGCGGACGGGGGAGUAAUGCCUAGGAAUCUGCCUGGUAGUGGGGAUAACGUUCGGAAACGGACGCUAAUACCGCAUGCGUCCUACGGGUGAAAGUGGGGGAUCUUAGGACCUCACGCUAUCAGAUGAGCCUCGGUCGGAUUAGCUAGUUGGUGAGGUAAAGGCUCACCAAGGCGACGAUCCGUAACUGAUCUGAGAGGAUGAUCAGUUACACUGGAACUGAGACACUGUCCAGACUCCUACGGGAGGCAGCAGUGUGGAAUAUUGGACAAUGGGCGCAAGCCUGAUCGAGCCAUGCCGCGUGUGUGAAGAAGGUCUUCGGAUUGUAAAGCACUUUAAGUUGGGAGGAAGGUCAGUAGCUUAAUACGUUGCUGAUUUGACGUUACCGACAGAAUAAGCACCGGCUAACUCUGUGCCAGCCGCCGCUGUAAGAC
rnacentral:rRNA from 1 species